rnacentral:rRNA from 1 species
GUAACACGUAGUCAACCUGCCCUGGAAACAUGGACAACCCCGGGAAACUGGGAUUAAUCCGUGAUAGGUCAUCUCAUCUGGAAGGAGAGAUGGCUUAAAGGGGUACGCGGGCUUCUUCUGCGUAUUCGCUCCAGGAUGGGACUGCGUCCGAUCAGGCUGUUGGCGGGGUAAUGGCCCACCAAACCUGUAACCGGUACGGGCCUUGAGAGAGGUGGCCCGGAGAUGGACACUGAGAGAAGGGUCCAGGUCCUACGGGGCGCAGCAGGCGCGAAACCUUCGCAAUGCGCGAAAGCGUGACGAGGUUAAUCCGAGUGGCCCCCGCUGAGGGGGUCUUUUGUCAGCUGUAAAUAGGCGGGCGAAUAAGGGGAGGGCAAGCCUGGUGUCAGCCGCCGCGGUAAUACCAGCUCCUCGAGUGGUCGGGGCGAUUAUUGGGCCUAAAGCAUCCGUAGCCGGUUCCGUAGGUCCUCUGUUAAAUCCACCCGCUUAACGGGUGACCUGCAGAGGAUACCGCGGGACU